UCCCGGUUGGCCCGGGCAGUCUUGUAUGAAAUAUCCAACAUACAAUAAGGGUUGCGCUCGUUGCGGGACUUAACCCAACAUCUCACGACACGAGCUGACGACGGCCAUGCAGCACCUGUCACCAAGUUCCAAAAGGCACAUCUGUCUUUCGACAAACUUCUUGGGAUGUCAAACCUCGGUAAGGUUCUACGCGUAGCUUCAUAUUAAACCACAUCAUCCUCUGCUUGUGCGGGUCCCCGUCAAUUCCUUUGAGUUUUAAGCUUGCGCUCGUACUCCCCAGGCGGUGUGCUUAACGCGUUAGCUGUUCAGCCCAAGGGGUCGAUACCUCGAACUAAUAGCACACAUCGUUUACGGCGUGGACUAC
rnacentral:misc_RNA from 1 species